UACGGAGGGUGCAAGCGUUAUCCGGAUUCACUGGGUUUAAAGGGUGCGUAGGUGGGCAGGUAAGUCAGUGGUGAAAUCUCCGGGCUUAACUCGGAAACUGCCAUUGAUACUAUCUGUCUUGAAUACCGUGGAGGUUAGCGGAAUAUGUCAUGUAGCGGUGAAAUGCUUAGAUAUGACAUAGAACACCAAUUGCGAAGGCAGCUGGCUACACGAAUAUUGACGCUGAGGCACGAAAGCGUGGGGAUCAAACAGG
rnacentral:rRNA from 1 species